GUGGGUACAGCUCGGCGGUAGAGCCCGGGCUUAGCACGCACGAGGCCCUGGGUUCAAUCCCCAGUACUGCCA
rnacentral:tRNA from 1 species